rnacentral:lncRNA from 1 species
UUGGGCUGUUCUGCCCUGGGCUUUGUAGCAAAGGGAAGAUGUGAAGGCCAGAGGUAAACACUAAUUUCCUAUUGACACAACAUUAAUUCUCCGGCUCGGACAGGUGAAUGUGCUUUCACUCACUUUACCAAGAUUAAUGAGGUUUGUCUGCCUGCUGAGAGAGGCCUCAGGAGGGACUCUGAGCGCAUGCCCUCUGGGCUGGCCGUGGGGAAAGAGGCUGGCAGACGCACGGAAGAAGACCAGUCUCUCCCCCCACUUCCAACGUCAUCGUCCCUGUUCAGAAACCCAAUUCAACUAAACUCAAGACAAAAGGGUGUUACUGCCUCCUGAAAAGGCUACGGGUACCUGGGGCCUGGCUGAGUUCAGGCCUGAAACAGUGUUACCCAUUCAACCUGCGCUCCCUGGGCCUCUCAGGCCCACUCUGCUCCGGUUAACCUGCAGCUUGGCCACAGACCCUUCUGCCCCAGCUGUUUCCACCUUGGCAUGUGACGGUCCAGCCAGUGCAGUAUGAGAGCUGAAAGCCCAACCCUGCCUUCUUUUCCAGAACAUACCAACGUGGUUUAGCAAAUUCAUUAGUGCAGAGUUUCUCCCAAGAGCCCUUGGAGGUUUGAUUACAUGAGACCUUCCCAUAAGUGUCACCGCCAGGGGCUGGUGCACGUGGCAGCAGGAGGCCUGCAGGGUCCUGCCCUCUCUCCUCUGUCAUCGGAGAGAAGAUCCAGACCCUUUGCCGCUUUGCUUCCACGCCGCCGGCAGCCUUCCCUUGGUCACUGGGAGAGGAGAGAAAGCUACGGAACCGUAGGUCAUCCGUGAACAACUCCAAAGCAGGCAGGGAGGGCCAAAACGUGGAUUUAAAUCCAGCUGGGCUUCUGCAAUCACUGUUCGUCAAACCUGCCCAUUACCAUGCCCCAGGGCACUUGUCAGCCGGGAGCAUUCCAGGCCCGCAGCCCGCCCAACUGAGUGGGGAGGUCCCAGAAGGGCCCUGGGAAUCUGUGUCUGACAAGCCCUGUCUGUCGUCAGGCAAGCCUGGGAAACUGCCUAAGUGAAUACCUUCUCUGGCUGUGCCGUGGCUGCUCCAUCCAGGGACGCUGGCGGUCAACCAUAAAGCAGAAACCACACGCAGGAAAAUGCUCUUUGCUGUCAUUGUGCACCACAACGUGUGUGCUC